rnacentral:lncRNA from 1 species
GGGCAGAGGUGAGAGCCAAGUGGUGCAAGUAGAGCUAGACAAUGUUAACACAAAAAUUAAUGCUUAGGAAGCAUAUAGUUCUAGGUCAGAGUUGGAGCAGUAUCAUAGUGAUGCCUUAGAUAGACCACGUCGCACUACCAAGCCACCAGCAAAGUAUGGAUUUGAGGAUUCGGUUUCUUAUGCACUCAUUACCAGCAAUAGCGAUCCUAUAACUUUUCAGGAUGCCAUUGGUAGUCAGGAGAAAGGUAAAUGGAUAGAGGCUAUGACGGAGGAAAUUGAGUCAUUGCAUAAAAUGAUACUUGGGAUUUGGUGGAGCUUCCAGAGGGGAAGAAACAGAUAGGGUGUAAGUGGGUGUAUAGAAAGAAAGAAACAAUGUCAGAAAAGGAAGGAGAAAGAUACAAUGCUCAAUUAGUAGCAAAGGGAUACUCACAGAGGAAGAGAGUAGAUUAUGAUGAAAUUUUCUCUCCGGUCGUCAGACACACUUCCAUCAGGAUUGUUUUGGCAAUGGUAGCUAAUUUUAAUUUGGAGUUAGAGCAGCUAGAUGUGAAGACUGCUUUCCUUCAUGUGAUUUGGAGGAACAGAUUUUCAUGGAGCAGCCAGAAGGGUUUUUGGAACCAGGAAUAGAGAACCUUGUGUGUAAAUUGAAGAAGUCUUUAUACGGGCUUAAGCAGUCUCCACGGCAAUGGUACAAGAAGUUCGACUCUCAUAUGAUUCAGAUUGGCUACAGUCGUUGUGAGUAUGAUUGUUGCGUCUACUACAGAGUUCUUGAGGACAACUCAUAUAUUUUCUUGAUGUUGUAUGUGGACGACAUGUUAAUUGCUGUUAAGAACAUGGAUAAGGUAGGCAAAUUGAAAUCUUUGUUGAACAAUAAGUUUGAUAUGAAAGACUUGGGACCGGCUAAGAAAAUUCUUGGCAUGGAGAUCAACAGAGAUAGGAAAGCUAGAAAAUUAUGGGUGUCUCAGAAAAAUUAUUUGAAGAAAGUGUUAGAGAGGUUUAGCAUGUCAUAUGCAAAAUCAGUUGCCACACCACUUGCAAAUCACUUCAAAUUGUCUAAUAAUCAGUGUCCAAAGAGUGAAGAAGAUGUUGCAGAGAUGUCAAAGGUACCUUAUGCCAGCGCAGUUGGAUGUUUAAUGUAUGCAAUGGUGUGUACUAGAUCAGAUUUAGCACAUGCAGUCAGCGUGGUUAGUAAGUAUAUGGCUAAUCCUGGUAGAGAGCAUUGGAGAGCUGUAAAGUGGAUUUUCAGGUACUUGAAAGGUACAAUGGAGUGCGGGAUCAUGUUUGAGAGACAACAUGGUGAUAUUUCAGUUCAAGGAUAUGUAGAUGCAAAUUAUGCAGGGGAUUUGGAUGACAGAAGGUCCCAUACAGGUUAUGUUUUCACACUCGCAGGUGGGCCCAUAUGUUGGAGGUCAAUGGUGCAAUCACUUGUGGCAUUAUCUACAACUGAAGUAGAGUAUAUGGCGGCAACUGAGGCAGUCAAGGAAUUAUUGUGGUUGAAAGGGCUUGUCACGGAACUUGGGAUCAAGCAAGAUAGAAUGAAACUGUACUGUGAUAGUCAGAGCGCGAUCUGCUUAGCUAAGAAUCAGAUUUAUCAUGCAAGAACCAAGCACAUUGAUGUGAGAUUUCAUAAGAUAAGAGAAUUGGUUACUUCAGGAGAGCUGUUGUUAGAAAAAGUGCAUACCUUAGGAACGCAGCAGUCAUGAUGAUAAAGCCGAUCACAAUGGAUAGGUUCAAGCAUUGCUUGAACUUGAUUAACAUCUCUAGCUGUUAGAGAGGAUGUGUCUCAACCCAUUGGUCCUAAAUGGUGUGAUUUUUUUCAAGUUAUGUUUUUUCUCCUAAGGGGUGAAUAUUCGCCAAGGUGGAGAUUGUUGUACAUGUGGCUCAUAUAGAGUGGAACACAGGCCUUGGAUCAAAGGGCCGAUGCUGGCGCGGAGUGCAUUGAACGGAGCGACGGCAUCGGCCUUGCGUGAGUCUAAUUCACUAUCUGGUUGUUAGGGACGCUGAAUGGGCGGUACGAUACAGAGGUAUUUUCUGUACGGGCUUUAAAGCCUUAUAUGGGCCCAGGCUAGGGUUAGUAUAAAUAAUAUGUUGUAACCCUUUUUUCAUAACUGAAUAAAGAAAUCUCCGCUUCGCUCUCGUGGACGUAGGCACAUUGCCGAACCACGUAAAAUUCUUAUGUUGCAUAAAAUCCAACGUAAUGGUUACUCAUAAUUCAAAACUAUAAAUGACAAAAAAUAAAUUAAUAUACGUGAAAAAUAUUUCAAUUAAUUUAACAUGAUCUUUUAUUAAACUAAUUAUGCUCUUACUAUUUAACUUAAAUUUAUGACUCUCUUACAUAACUUUAUAGAAACCGUACUUGAUUCCUAGUGGCCUAGGACCCCAUUUGUAGUAUUAAAACAUUAAGUGUACUCAACAAGCUUUAAUUAAUUAUUUAAUUAGAUUCUAUUAUCAAUUGUAUCUCCAUACAACUUUUAGAUCAUUAAGUGACAAUGUCUUCACAUCUUAUGUUUUAACUUAAUAUAUCUCUAGAAUUUAUCUCGAGUAUACCUAACAAAAGAUAAAACUUUAGUUAAGUCAAAACUUAUCAUUCAAAAUUAUCUAAUAUUUCAUAGUUUCAAAAUAUCCCUAAUGUGACGCCUUGGGUGUACUCAAUAAGGGGCGCUCUCUCUCUCUCUAUAUAUAUAUAUACACACACACACACACAUAUAUACACACUCCCAAUAUGCAAAUAAACAAACAUAAUAAUGUGGACGCUUAUGGAUUUUUACUAACUAGUCUUCUCGAGCCAAAAGGAAGACUAGUUGGUCAUUCCUGGGGGCAUGUCAUUGAAUCAUACAUUGCUUCAUCACUAUGGUCUCUACUUGUUCUUAUAUCUUCAAUUAGUCCAAUUGUAACUUGUAUUCUAUACUAAUUGGCACGCGUACCUAAAAGAAUUGGACAAAGGCCCAUAAUAAUAACGGACUUACAUGUCCAAAAUUAAUAAUGAGCUCACAAGCCCAAAAUUAAUAAAUGGCUCGCAGGUCCAAAACAAGAAUUAAAACUAGUCAUUCAACACAUCUACAUGUUCGAGUCUAAAAUCAUCCAAUAAGUAUUCACUCAUCACAUAAAUACAUUAUUAUCUAAUAUCAAAUAUUAUACAUAAACAUAUUUUAAAUUUCUAACAAUUAAAUUUGUCUAAA